GACUCUCGGUGGCGCAACGGCACCUCGUCUGACUCCAGAUCAGAAGGUUGCGUGUUCAAAUCACGUCUGGGUCA
rnacentral:tRNA from 1 species